UAGGUGUCCCCUUCGCUGUCUUUCUGCGGAAUGGGCUCGGGAACAACGUCUUCCUGAUCUGAAAUGGUUAAAUAAGGAAUGAGUUACACCAGCCCAGUAAAGACAUCACACUAUCUCACCGCCACGGAAGUAAAGGUGGGUAGAAAACAAAAAUAAUCAAUGGAGCAUAAUUUAUAAUGAACUUGUUUAGUAACAUAAAAACCUUUACUGUCCACUUACCUCGAUGAGAUCCAUGAAAACAACAUAUGAAAACAAUAACCUUAUAAUAUCAUGAAAUCAUACACACUUUAUAACAUAACACAUAUCAUACCUUUACAUUUCAAUCAUCAGGAAAAAGAUUUCCUCUUUUACCAGCCUACUAGUAUCCCUGGGGAUCCAUAGGGGGUCCCCGCUACACGUGAACCAUUAACAUCUACAACCUGAUUCCAGGGCCGUCCCUAUACCCCGUCCGGUAUGUGCGCCAAAACCAUGAACCUCAAUACCUCGUCCGGUAUGAGGGUGAAACGGGCCGUCCCCAUACCCCCUCCGGUAUGGGCACCAAAACACAUAAGGUCUCCAUACCCCCUCCGGUAUGAGAGACCACGUUCCCGGUAGGGUUCCCUACGGACCCAGUCUGUCCACCAUCUCCC
rnacentral:lncRNA from 1 species